rnacentral:rRNA from 1 species
GAUGAACGCUGGCGGCGUGCCUAAUACAUGCAAGUCGAGCGAACGGACGAGAAGCUUGCUUCUCUGAUGUUAGCGGCGGACGGGUGAGUAACACGUGGAUAACCUACCUAUAAGACUGGGAUAACUUCGGGAAACCGGAGCUAAUACCGGAUGAUAUUUUGAACCGCAUGGUUCAAAAGUGAAAGACGGUCUUGCUGUCACUUAUAGAUGGAUCCGCGCUGCAUUAGCUAGUUGGUAAGGUAACGGCUUACCAAGGCAACGAUGCAUAGCCGACCUGAGAGGGUGAUCGGCCACACUGGAACUGAGACACGGUCCAGACUCCUACGGGAGGCCGCAGUAGGGAAUCUUCCGCAACGGGCGAAAGCCUGACGGAGCAACGCCGCGUGAGUGAUGAAGGUCUUCGGAUCGUAAAACUCUGUUAUUAGGGAAGAACAUAUGUGUAAGUAACUGUGCACAGCUUGACGGUACCUAAUCAGAAAGCCACGGCUAACUACGUG